CACAGAUAACUCAGUGCCUUGUCCGAAGAUAAGCUUUCCUCCCUGGUUAUAAUUCACACUGUGUUACAUAUCCUGUCAAAAACAUAUCCAAUCUUCCUGAACACAUUUCUAAUCCUCUUCCUCCAAACCCACAGCAGAUCUCUUCUCACACCAUAGCAUGAAUUGUGGCUAUACUUAUUGUAACUUUUUUUCUUAUAAGGGGAAUAAAGUACUUACACAGGGGACUGAUAGAGAAUAAUGAGAAUUCCUAUUUAUCCGAAAAUGUUUCUAUCCAAACGGAUUUCUCGUGUUUGCUUAAUGGCUCUGGGUAUUGCUGCUCAGGGAAAUGGCUUCCUUUCAAAUAUGUUUCUUGUGGUCUCAGCUAGAAAUACAUGGCACACAGGGGUUAAAAAAUUAAGGGCAGGUGAGACUCUGGGGAAUCAGGCGUACCCACAGUGACCACAACCUGGGUCCCUGCUCCAAAAUUCAAUUUCCACCAGCCAUCAGUUGUCACACUGGUGACAAACACUUCUACAAAAUGGCUUCCCCCGAGAAGACAGCUGGUAAAUGAAGACAAACUGCUCAUGGGGAAACAAUCUUGCUACAAAAUGAGCUGGUAUCACGAACCACCAACACAAACCAAGCAAAAAAAACACCACCUGUGUUUUGACAGCUUCUGCGUGAUGGAAGACAGGCUUCUUGGGAAGAAUAAUUAGCCAGAAAGAAGAACUUACUUGGUGUGACCAUGAGCUUGGUGCCUUUCCCGAAUGUGAGUUGGUAACUCCCAACCCUAGAGUCUACCCAGAGUUUCCUUUCUUUGCAAAAUCCCUGCAGAUGCUGAGAAAAUGAAACCACUCACAGCACAAGGAGCAGUGCUGACAGAAGCUCAGACUGUCACAGUAACCAGAUGACAGGCAGAAGAGCUGUGACAGAGGCUGGCCAUGGGGUGGACCAUCCCUUGGAGUCCUAGAGACAUGGCUGGCUUUCAGAGGCCAUCCAGUUCAUCCUCCCAUCUUCUGCCAAGGUGUUCUCUGACCAAAGACCUAUCCAGUCUUUAAGAGCUCCUGGGAAGGCGGUUCUCCUUUGCCAACAGCUUUUGCAUUCAAGAAACCGUGCCUUAUCUAAUUGAAAUCUGCAAACUGCAGCCUGAGUUCUUUGUGUCUCUAGCCUCCCUCCUUGAAGGAAAUUUCGUGUCAACAGACUCCAAACAGAAACUCAUCACAACAUACCACACUAGUCCCUGUGGUUGUUUCUGGGGAGCAAACUGAUACUGAAGGAAAUGGGUCAAGGUGAAUAUUGGCUUUAUCUGUAAUUUGAAUUGUUUUUACCAUGAGACAUCUUCAUGUAUUUCUUAGACAAAUUUAAAAUUAAUAACAACAUUAAAUAUUUUAAAUGGC